rnacentral:rRNA from 1 species
UACGUAGGUCCCGAGCGUUGUCCGGAUUUAUUGGGCGUAAAGCAAGCGCAGGUGGUUUAUUAAGUCUGGUGUAAAAGGCAGUGGCUCAACCAUUGUAUGCAUUGGAAACUGGUAGACUUGAGUGCAGGAGAGGAGAGUGGAAUUCCAUGUGUAGCGGUGAAAUGCGUAGAUAUAUGGAGGAACACCGGUGGCGAAAGCGGCUCUCUGGCCUGUAACUGACACUGAGGCUCGAAAGCGUGGGGAGCAAACAGG